CGUGGGGGCGCUACCAUGCAGUCGCACGAGAAGGGCUUCGGCCCCGGUAAAGUGGCGCACGGGUGCGUAACACGUAGGCAAUCUUCCCUUGAGCGGGGGAUAACACUUCGAAAGGGGUGCUAAUACCGGAUAAGCCCACGAGCUCUUUGGAGCAUGCGGGAAAAGGGGGGGACCUUCGGGCCUUCUGCCAUCAGAUGAGUCUGCGUACCAUUAGCUAGUUGGUAGGGUAAAGGCCUACCAAGGCGACGAUGGUUAGCUGGUCUGAGAGGAUGAUCAGCCACACUGGAACUGAGACACGGUCCAGACUCCUACGGGAGGCAGCAGUGGGGAAUUUUGCGCAAUGGGGGAAACCCUGACGCAGCAACGCCGCGUGAGUGAUGAAGGCCCUUGGGUCGUAAAGCUCUGACAGAGGGAAAGAAAUGUGGGUGGCUAAUAUCCAUACCACUUGACGGUACCCUCAAAGGAAGCACCGGCUAACUCCGUGCCAGCAGCCGCGGUAAUACGGGGGGUGCAAGCGUUGUUCGGAUUUAUUGGGCGUAAAGCGCGUGUAGGCGGUUUUAUAAGUCUGAUGUGAAGGCCCCGGGCUCAACCUGGGAAGUGCAUUGGAUACUGUAAGACUUGAAUACGGGAGAGGGCAGUGGAAUUCCUGGUGUAGGAGUGAAAUCCGUAGAUAUCAGGAGGAACACCGGUGGCGAAGGCGGCUGCCUGGACCGAUAUUGACGCUGAGACGCGAAAGCGUGGGUAGCAAACAGGAUUAGAUACCCUGGUAGUCCACGCCGUAAACGAUGAGUACUAGGUGUUGCGGGUAUUGACCCCUGCAGUGCCGCAGCUAACGCAUUAAGUACUCCGCCUGGGAAGUACGGUCGCAAGACUAAAACUCAAAGGAAUUGACGG
rnacentral:rRNA from 1 species